GACCUACUACGCAGAAAAACAGAUUCUGAUUAUGUUAGCUGAUGUAACCUCUCAACAAUCUUAAAUAUUCCAAGAUGUUAGAAGAAAUCUCUUUCAAUACAUUUGUGGAAAUCUUUCUUCUGCUGUACCAAUCCUCCAAAUAUGUUCCAAAAAAAAUUCCAGAUCUCCAAAACUCCUUUCAGCUGUAAUUUCAGAAACAAGAAUUAUUCUUACCUCCAGAUUAUUCCAAUUUCCAGAAUUUUCCAAUAAUUCAAAUUUCAAAAUAUUCUUCAAGAAGGAUUAGACGUUAGAGACCAACAUGUUUAUUCAGAACGUCAAAUAUGCAUUAUUAUUCAGUAACUCCAAAGCUUAGCUAUCGAUAGAAAAAUCGAUCUUUCUGAGGAUAAGUAACAAUCACAAGUUAUAAAUCAGUAUCACAUAAUUGCAGGGUUCCAUUUGAAAAGGAAAGCAAAAUAAAUGAAGUACACACCUGCAAGUAGCUUCUUACAUGACCAAUGCAGGACAUCUUUAUGAAAUGCCUUCCUGCACACCUAGAGAGAGAAAGAAAAGAGGGGAGGGAGAGAGAGAGAGAGAGAAAUCACGUCAAUAGAUGUAGAUGUUGUCACCAAAUUCCAAAAUUAGUUAAAAGGUAAGUUCUGUACAUUAGAUAGUGGCCUCGGAACAUCAUUUUUCCAGCCCCCUCUAAAUGCCAGAAUGGAAUCUAAACUUGGUACAAAUCAAAUUGAGUUGUCAGGCAAUGUACUCUGCUCAUUCUGGCAAGGACAAGCAUUAUCAUAUUCUUCUAGUCUGUGCAAGCAGCAAAAGAGCAGAUUACAAAGUCAUAAUCUUGGUUUUUUUAAGAGGUGAAAUAAGCCUAUGCAAAACAUAUACAAGGUCAAUUACCGAAAAUUCUACAAGAUUGAACUUUGAACUUGCAAAAACAAGUCAAUUCUCCAGUCUCCACACCUUAAGGAUCCCUAAAACUGAAGCACAAAAAAGCAAUGGCUUCAACACUAGUUGCACAACAUUUUGACAGCAAUGUAUCCAACACAAGCACAUUCGAAGUCCAAACUCAUACAUGAUUUUAACAGCCUGGAAGAAGUUUGAGAGGACAACAAUGCUAAGAAUUGAAGUACUUCUGAUGUAGGACGGAUUUAAGAUAAAUAAUUAAUAGAAAAUAAAUUAGCAUUUAAACUCCACAUUUAAAUCUCUAGGACGAAUCAACACUAAAAAUGAAUAAAAUAUCUCUACGUAUGAAUGAUAAAUAGUCUGUAGUUAAAAAAUUGUGUGGAUUACAUCACUAUUUAGAGACUCAAAACCCUAAUGGAAUAAUAAAAGUACUAAACGAUUAAAAUACCCUUAUUAAUAAUUCCUAAUUAAUGUUUUUAAUCCCCACAAAUAAAUAAUUACAUCAAUUACUCUUACAUUAAACAUAAUAAAAACUCUAAAUAAUAAGAAUUCUUUGUUAAAGUCUUGACUUGUGAUCCUCAUCAUUCUCAAUUUAAGGUAAAGAAUUAAUGGAAAAUAAAUUAGAAUUUAAACUCCAUAUUUAAAUCACUAUGGGCUCUCAAGUGUAUCAACUCCACGAAUCAAUGCUAAUAUGGAUAAAAUACCUCUACAAUAUGUAUAAUAAUAAUCAACUUCAAUAUCAAUAGUCUAUAAUCUAAAGGACUUGUGGGGAUUACACUAUUUAAAAAGACACGAAACCUUAAUAUUACUUGGGGAAUAAUAAAAGUACUAAACAACUAAAAUACCCUUAUUAAUAAUCCUAAUCAAUAAUUAAUGUCCUAAAUCCCCACUAAUAAAUAAAUUACAUCAAUUAGUCUUACAUUAAACAUAAUAAAAACUCCAAAAUACAAGAAUUCUUUGAAAGUCUUGACUUGUGAUCCUUAUCUCCAAAACUCAACCUCGAGUUUUAUAACAUGAGAGAAUAAUCCAUGAACUUCUUUGCACCGAAAGAGCAUUUUGGAACACCUUUGACACCAUCUUCACAUGAUAAGGCUCAAACAAUUUCGGGAAGAGAAUUGAUGAAAGUGUCACUUUUGUAUUCAUAGGUGUUGAAAAGUAAUUUUUUGAAAUAACGAGCCCAACAUUAUCAACUUGGACUAGAUCAACUUCGCAAACUGUCUUCUCUUCGUUGACAAACAACUUAAAAGUAAUUUCAAUGUCGUCCUCAAUUUGUGGGUCACAUAUAAUCUCUAGUUCAACUUUUGAAACUUUAAGAAUUCCAUGAACAUGAACAUGUUAUAACUGUCUGUAGCCCAUAAUUGUGAACAUCCUCUUUUUCGAUCUCUUGCUCUUUCUCUGCUCGAAUAUGUGCCAGAAAGUCAAUAAGGCCAUCUUUUAUAGAAUGUCAUAUUUUAUAAAAAUGAUUUCAUCUUUUAUAGAAGAACAUAUAGAAACAGUUUCACGUGUAGCCUUUUGAAGUUCUUUUGUUUUAGUUUGUUUGACGUUUCUUUGCUUCAACAUUUAUUAGUUAAAGUCUUGACUUGUGAUUCCCAUCAACUUCCCAGUAAAUAAAAAAAAAUUAAAUAGUUAAUAAACCAGCAAAAAGACAUAAGAUUGACCUGUUUUUAAAGAAAUAAUGACGUUGGAAAAAAAUUGGCACCACAAACUAUGAAAAUGAGGAAGGAAUUUGAAGUUAUGUUGAUUAUAUUUAUAUCAGAUCGCCAAACAACAAUAAUCCCAGGAAUCCUCUGUUAACCAUAAUCUCUUCCUAUAAAUUAACUAUUCUUUUUUUUNNNNNNNNNNNNNNNNNNNNNNNNNNNNNNNNNNNNNNNNNNNNNNNNNNNNNNNNNNNNNNNNNNNNNNNNNNNNNNNNNNNNNNNNNNNNNNNNNNNNUGCUGGUGGUCGGAGUGGGAAGUAGGAAAUAACAUAGACGAGAUACUUUUAGAUAGAAAAGAUAUUUGAAAAGGGAGAGAUUACAAGCAGCAGGGGGACAAGGAGUCCACCAUCAUUGUUUAAUAAGUGGAAAUAAAGAGAGAGUGCUCCAAAAAUAGCAUCUCUCCAAUCUCUACAAAUAUCUUAAACACAAAAACCUAAAGACCAGCAGUUAAACAAAAGAAAUAUAGUUGUUCAUAAAAUACCUAGGCUUACCGCUCAUUCCAAAUUUCCCAAACAAUAGAAAAGUUGAACACUUUCAAAACAUAUCGUGUCCUUUCUUGCAAAGCCUCUAAAGUGAGUAAGUAGCAAAUCCUCCACCAAAGCGGGGCAAACCUACCCCUUCCCAAACGCACCAAAUAUAGAGUUCAAAAACCCCAAGCAACAUGAAAAUGCAAAAAGCAAAUUUAGAAACAUACUAUAUAAUAGAACUAUUACAAUGCUUAAAUAGAAAACCUA
rnacentral:lncRNA from 1 species